AAAUUCCCAUAAAACAUAAUAAAGUUUGUUCUAUUCGUCAGUUUCUACGUUCAACUACAACGAAUAUUGAAAUGUUUCCAAUUUCAACUCGACUAACAGGAGCACCGGACGGAGCCGAAGCGCAAUGAGACUGAUUCAGUUGAAUGCUUUCAAUACGCUUAAGCAGAAAAUAUCUGCAGGUUACAGCG